UGAGGGUCCAUGAUUUGUUUAGUCUGCUGGCUUUCUUGAAUGCUGGUUGUGCUAGCAGUGAAUUUGUCACUUGAACAGACUCAGGACCUCUGAUUAGCCCGUUGUUGCAGGCAGCAAUAUUAAGUGUUGUUUUCCCUUUCCUGGGAUCAGAGUUAUUCUGACAUGAGUUGCUGUAAUGGCCUGAGUUGGUUAGCCUGCAGCCAG